rnacentral:tRNA from 1 species
GGGGAUUUAGCUCAGUGGUAGAGCGCUUGCCUAGCAAACGCAAGGCCCUGGGUUCGAUCCCCAACUCCA